GAGCGGAGCUGGGCAGUUUUAGUGCGUUUAAGCAGCUGCAGAAAGACGGGGUUAGGAGAAGGUGUGCGAGAAACCUGCCGCAGGCACCACAUCGCCAAGGACGAUGUCUCGCAGGGCGACGGUAGACCUUCAAAACUUCUCAGACCUGCUGCCCUAUUCCUUUAGAGACUUGGCUGGAGGCUGCUUGGCCUGUUCCUGACUCCCUGCUGCUUCCUCCUGUCUUGGUCAAUGUCCAUCGCAUCAGCCUGGAGUGCAGGAGCCGCCUAUCAGCACUCGUGCCCAUACCCUGGUCCCUCGUCCCUGCUUGCUUCCCACUGCACCUGUCGACAGAACCGGACGGCAGCCUUCUCCACUCCUCCCGUCCCCGGGGAUUGCUGCCACACACACAGGCAAGGAAUCCACACCCCCUUGAGUUCUUUGGGAUGCCUGGCAAUCCUCUCAUGAGUUGUCAGCCCCGUCUCCUAGUCCCCUCGACAGCCAUUGCUAGCUUCCACUCUUAUCCUCGAUCCCCCAUCCCAGCACCCACACCUUGUACACCCACUAUGUGCCAAGCAAGUCAGACAGGGCCCCUGCCCUCCUGGAGCUCCCAGCCUGAAGUGGGGAACAGGCAAGCAAUCAUUAUUAAUCUCUGGAUUGUGAAGAAGGCCAAGUGCAAUGCCGGGCCACCUGCCUUGCAGGGAAAUGAAGCCAUUAGGUGGGAACUGCUUUCAACAACCAGUCCUGCUCUGUCUACACACCUGCGGUGUCCACAACCCCUGGUCUCCUUGCCUGUGCUCUCGCUGGAGGAGGCGCCCUUCCUGCUUCACCAUCAGCCCCUCCUCUGCGCCCUGGCUCUCCCCUCCCCUGCCAGGCCCAUCAGGGAUUAGGUCCCCUCUCAAACGUCCAACCUCUUCUUUUCCAUUGCCUCGUUCCUUUCAUCUCCAGCUCUUCCAUUUUAUUAUUGGUAAUAAUAUUAACUGUUUGCUGAG